rnacentral:rRNA from 1 species
AUUGAACGCUGGCGGCAGGCCUAACACAUGCAAGUCGAACGAGUGGCGGACGGGUGAGUAAUGUCUGGGAAACUGCCCGAUGGAGGGGGAUCACUACUGGAAACCGUAGCUAAUACCCCAUCCCAUCGGCUGUACCCAGAUGGGAUUAGCUAGUAGGUGGGGUAACGGCUCACCUGGGAGACGAUCCCUAGCUGGUCUGAGGGGAUGACAAGCCCAAUGGGAACUGAGAAAGGGCCAAGAACCCUCCGGGAGGAAGAAGUGGGGAACAUGGAACAAUGGGGGAAAUCCGGAUGCAGCCAGGCAGCGUGUAUGAGGAAGGCCUCCGGGUUGUAAAGUACUUUAAGCGAGGAGGCGUUACGCGAAGAAGAAGCCCCGGCUAACUACGUGCCAGCAGCCGCGGUAAUUC